AGUGAACGCUGGCGGUAGGCCUAACACAUGCAAGUCGAACGGCAGCACAGUAAGAGUUUGCUCUUACGGGUGGCGAGUGGCGGACGGGUGAGGAAUACAUCGGAAUCUACUUUUUCGUGGGGGAUAACGUAGGGAAACUUACGCUAAUACCGCAUACGACCUACGGGUGAAAGCAGGGGAUCUUCGGACCUUGCGCGAUUGAAUGAGCCGAUGUCGGAUUAGCUAGUUGGCGGGGUAAAGGCCCACCAAGGCGACGAUCCGUAGCUGGUCUGAGAGGAUGAUCAGCCACACUGGAACUGAGACACGGUCCAGACUCCUACGGGAGGCAGCAGUGGGGAAUAUUGGACAAUGGGCGCAAGCCUGAUCCAGCCAUACCGCGUGGGUGAAGAAGGCCUUCGGGUUGUAAAGCCCUUUUGUUGGAAAAGAAAAGCAGCAGGUUAAUACCCCGCUGUUCUGACGGUACCCAAAGAAUAAGCACCGGCUAACUUCGCG
rnacentral:rRNA from 1 species